AGGAUGAACGCUGGCGGCGUGCCUAACACAUGCAAGUCGAACGUCCUGUCUCGCAAGAGGCAGGGAGUGGCGGACGGGUGAGUACCACGUGGGUUAUCUACCGUGAGGUGAGGAAUACCGGCGAGAAAUCGCCGACAAGACCGCAUAGCCUCGGUGCAAGCCGAGGAAAGCUUUCUCGAGAGAGGGAGCGCCACACGAGGAGCCUGCGCCCGAUUAGCUAGCUGGUGGAGUAACGGUUCACCAGGGCGACGAUCGGUAGCUGGUCUGAGAGGACGAUCAGCCACACUGGGAUUGAGAACGGCCCAGACUCCUACGGGGGGCAGCAGUGAGGAAUUUUCCGCAAUGGACGAAAGUCUGACGGAGCAACGCCGCGUGCAGGAGGAAGGUUUUCGGAUCGUAAACUGCUUUUCUCGGGGACAGCAAGGACGGUACCCGAGGAACGAAGCCCCGGCUAACUACGUGCCAGCAGCCGC
rnacentral:rRNA from 1 species